CGAACGCUGGCGGCAGGCCUACACGAUUCAAGUCGAACGUGAAGCAGCCAGCUUGCUCCCUGUGGAAAGUGGCAGACGGGUGAGUAACCCGUGGGAUUUACCCAGCUCUACGGAAUAACGCAGGGGAAACUUGUGCUAAUACCGUAUACGUCCUCCGGGAGAAAGAUUUAUCGGAGUUGGAUGAGCCCGCGUUAGAUUAGUUUGUUGGUGGGGUAACGGCCUACCAAGACUACGAUCUAUAGCUGGUCUGAGAGGAUGAUCAGCCACACUGGGACUGAGACACGGCCAGACUCCUACGGGAGGCAGCAGUGGGGAAUAUUGCACAAUGGGCGCAAGCCUGAUGCAGCCAUGCCGCGUGAGUGAAGAAGGCCUUACGGUUGUAAAACUCUUUCAUCGGUGAAGAUAAUGACGGUAGCCGAAGAAAGAAGCCCCGGCUAACUCCGUUGCCAGCAGACCGCGGUAAUACGAGACGUCGGGGCGAGACGUUGUUCGGAAUUACUGGGCGUAAAGCGCACGUAAGCGGAUUGGUCAGUGGGGGUGACAAUCCCGGAAGGAUUAAACUCGGAAACUGCCUCAAAUUACUGCCAAUCUUAGAAG
rnacentral:rRNA from 1 species